rnacentral:rRNA from 1 species
GAUGAACGCUGGCGGCGUGCCUAAUACAUGCAAGUCGAACGCUUCUUUCCUCCCGAGUGCUUGCCCUCAAUUGGAAAGAGGAGUGGCGGACGGGUGAGUAACACGUGGGUAACCUACCCAUCAGAGGGGGAUAACACUUGGAAACAGGUGCUAAUACCGCAUAACAGUUUAUGCCGCAUGGCAUAAGAGUGAAAGGCGCUUUCGGGUGUCGUUGAUGGAUGGACCCGCGGUGCAUUAGCUAGUUGGUGAGGUAACGGCUCACCAAGGCCACGAUGCAUAGCCGACCUGAGAGGGUGAUCGGCCACACUGGGACUGAGACACGGCCCAGACUCCUACGGGAGGCAGCAGUAGGGAAUCUUCGGCAAUGGACGAAAGUCUGACCGAGCAACGCCGCGUGAGUGAAGAAGGUUUUCGGAUCGUAAAACUCUGUUGUUAGAGAAGAACAAGGACGUUAGUAACUGAACGUCCCCUGACGGUAUCUAACCAGAAAGCCACGGCUAACUACGUG